rnacentral:rRNA from 1 species
UACGUAGGGGGCAAGCGUUAUCCGGAAUUACUGGGUGUAAAGGGAGCGUAGACGGCAGUGCAAGUCUGGAGUGAAAGGCGGGGGCUCAACCCCCGGACUGCUCUGGAAACUGUACGGCUGGAGUGCAGGAGAGGUAAGUGGAAUUCCUAGUGUAGCGGUGAAAUGCGUAGAUAUUAGGAGGAACACCAGUGGCGAAGGCGGCUUACUGGACUGUAACUGACGUUGAGGCUCGAAAGCGUGGGGAGCAAACAGG